rnacentral:rRNA from 1 species
GACGAACGCUGGCGGCGUGCUUAACACAUGCAAGUCGAACGAAGUGGCGAACGGGUGAGUAACGCGUAAUCAACCUGCCCUUCAGAGGGGGACAACAGUUGGAAACGACUGCUAAUAACGCAUACUGAAGGAGGGGACAGCGUCUGAUUAGCUAGUUGGAGGGGAACCGGCCCACCAAGGCGAUGAUCAGUAGCCGGUCUGAGAGGAUGAACGGCCCCAUUGGCACUGAGCCACGGCCCAGACUCCUACGGGAGGCAGCCGUGGGGAAUCCUCCGCCAUGGACGAAAGUCUGUCGGUGCUACGCCUCGUUAGUGACGAUGGCCUUCGGGUUGUAAAGCUCUGUUAAUCUUGACGCGGUACCGGAAUAGAAAGCCACGGCUAACUACGUGCCAGCAGCCGCGGUAAUUC